CAUGGCCUUGCGCCGGCGAUGGUUCAUUCAAAUUUCUGCCCUAUCAACUUUCGAUGGUAGGAUAGUGGCCUACCAUGGUGGCAACGGGUAACGGGGAAUUAGGGUUCGAUUCCGGAGAGGGAGCCUGAGAAACGGCUACCACAUCCAAGGAAGGCAGCAGGCGCGCAAAUUACCCAAUCCCGAUACGGGGAGGUAGUGACAAUAAAUACUGAUACGGGGCUCUUUUGGGUCUCGUAAUUGGAAUGAGUACAAUUUAAAUACCUUAACGAGGAACAAUUGGAGGGCAAGUCUGGUGCCAGCAGCCGCGGUAAUUCCAGCUCCAAUAGCGUAUAUUAAAGUUGUUGCAGUUAAAAAGCUCGUAGUUGAACCUUGGGUCUGGCUGGCCGGUCCGCCUCACCGCGAGUACUGGUCCGGCUGGACCUUUCCUUCUGGGGAACCUCAUGGCCUUCACUGGCUGUGGGGGGAACCAGGACUUUUACUGUGAAAAAAUUAGAGUGUUCAAAGCAGGCCUUUGCUCGAAUACAUUAGCAUGGAAUAAUAGAAUAGGACGUGCGGUUCUAUUUUGUUGGUUUCUAGGACCGCCGUAAUGAUUAAUAGGGAUAGUCGGGGGCGUCAGUAUUCAGCUGUCAGAGGUGAAAUUCUUGGAUUUGCUGAAGACUAACUACUGCGAAAGCAUUCGCCAAGGAUGUUUUCAUUAAUCAGGGAACGAAAGUUAGGGGAUCGAAGACGAUCAGAUACCGUCGUAGUCUUAACCAUAAACUAUGCCGACUAGGGAUCGGGCGGUGUUUCUAUGAUGACCCGCUCGGCACCUUACGAGAAAUCAAAGUUUUUGGGUUCUGGGGGGAGUAUGGUCGCAAGGCUGAAACUUAAAGAAAUUGACGGAAGGCACCACAAGGCGUGGACCCUGCGGCUUAAUUUGACUCAACACGGGGAAACUCACCAGGUCCAGACAAAAUAAGGAUUGACAGAUUGAGAGCUCUUUCUUGAUCUUUUGGAUGGUGGUGCAUGGCCGUUCUUAGUUGGUGGAGUGAUUUGUCUGCUUAAUUGCGAUAACGAACGAGACCUCGGCCCUUAAAUAGCCCGGUCCGCAUUUGCGGGCCGCUGGCUUCUUAGGGGGACUAUCGGCUCAAGCCGAUGGAAGUGCGCGGCAAUAACAGGUCUGUGAUGCCCUUAGAUGUUCUGGGCCGCACGCGCGCUACACUGACAGGGCCAGCGAGUACAUCACCUUGGCCGAGAGGUCUGGGUAAUCUUGUUAAACCCUGUCGUGCUGGGGAUAGAGCAUUGCAAUUAUUGCUCUUCAACGAGGAAUGCCUAGUAGGCACGAGUC
rnacentral:ncRNA from 1 species